rnacentral:tRNA from 1 species
GGAGGAUUGGCCGAGUGGCAAGGCACCGGCUUGGUUCAAGCCGCGGUCGGGGUCACCCCCGCGCACGUUCGAUCCGUGCAUCCUCCGCCG